UACGGAGGGUGCAAGCGUUAUCCGGAUUCACUGGGGUUAAAGGGUGCGUAGGUGGGCUGGUAAGUCAGUGGUGAAAUCUCCAGGCUUAACUUGGAAACUGCCAUUGAUACUAUCAGUCUUGAAUACCGUGGAGGUCAGCGGAAUAUGUCAUGUAGCGGUGAAAUGCUUAGAUAUGACAUAGAACACCAAUUGCGAAGGCAGCUGGCUACACGAAUAUUGACGCUGAGGCUCGAAAGCAUGGGGAGCAAACAGG
rnacentral:rRNA from 1 species